CACGUCAAUCAAUGGCUGGGAUACUGAUCCCACUGUCAAGCAAUAAGCCAUCGUCUAUUUUUCAUCGUUUUUUAUAUAUAUAUGGCCAUCAAGGCGCAGAAUCCGCACAGACUAUAGCGCUCAGCUCAUAUUGGUAUUUAAUGGGCAUCCUCCGAGGAGCCAGUCACUGAAACGCAGUCUUGGAUGAAGAGGACAGAGGGGCACCACUGAUCCCACAACAGACCGUAGCAGAGAUGAACGUGCAGAAGUUCGGACCUGCCGACCGGGUCACGGCACCACCAGAGAGAGCGUGGAGGAGCUCGGGAAGCUGGCAGCAGACGUGAGAAGCGAGGAGCAGCCAUCCCUGAGGUGUGUCUAUACGAGAAGCAUCCAGGUGAGUCGUAUUCUUCUCUACCUGCUCCUGCUGUUCUGAGCCGCAGGCACCUGGCCAGAUAUCAGCGGCCUGCACCCCAGUCAAGCCACCGUCCCACACCACGGAGAACUUCAAUUACAGCGGGAUUCUCGGAGCAGAGAGCGAAGGGGGUCGCAUUGAUUGAGGAGGGCAACAAUUGAUUUUGUCCAUUACGUGGUGAGAAUGUUUCCAUCCUGCGCAGAUCAGGCUGCCCUCCUCCUGUGGGUGGAGAUAAGAGGCCGCUGCAUUGUGGCUGCCUAAUCUGUGUGACGGCGCUUGUCUGUGCUGAAAUUGAUGUGGCUUUUCAUGCGUCCGCGUGUGGGUCUGUGUGGUGGGGGUCUGUUCCUCCACACCCCCGUCUCAGAUCCACUCAGAGCGCUGAGUGCCGCUCACAUCAGCAAACAUGAGGGGGAUUUGCAUCGAUACAGAUAUUUGCCUUGUAUUUGUUCCACAGGAUGUUUGUAAAGAGAAUAAAGCCGUUUGUAAUGACUUGUUGAAUUCUUGAGCCUUUUAUUGUCCUUACAGUGGGAUGUGGGUCAGAAGAGGGUGAGAAGUAUUAAUACAAAGGAUUUAAAUGUUAAUCUGUAAAUAGGAGUUUUAUAGAGA